AGAGUUUGAUCCUGGCUCAGGAUGAACGCUAGCGGGAGGCCUAACACAUGCAAGUCGAACGGGAUUGAGAGCUUGCUCUCAUGAGAGUGGCGCACGGGUGAGUAACGCGUAUGCAACCUACCUUUAACUGAGGGAUAGCCCAUAGAAAUGUGGAUUAAUACCUCAUAGUUCUUUUGAUCCGCAUGGAUUAAAAGAUAAAGCUCCGGCGGUUAAAGAUGGGCAUGCGUGACAUUAGCUAGUUGGUAAGGUAACGGCUUACCAAGGCUACGAUGUCUAGGGGUUCUGAGAGGAUGAUCCCCCACACUGGUACUGAGACACGGACCAGACUCCUACGGGAGGCAGCAGUGAGGAAUAUUGGUCAAUGGGCGCAAGCCUGAACCGGCCAUCCCGCGUGCAGGAUGAAGGCCCUAUGGGUCGUAAACUGCUUUUAUACACCAAGAAAAACACCCACGUGUGGGUGCCCGACGGUAGUGUACGAAUAAGCACCGGCUAACUCUGUGCCAGCAGCCGCGGUAAUACAGAGGGUGCAAGCGUUAUCCGGAAUCAUUGGGCGUAAAGGGUUCGUAGGUGGAAUGUUAAGUUGGGUGUUAAAUUUUGCAGCUCAACUGCAAAAAUGUGCCCAAAACUGGCAAUCUAGAGUGCUACAGAGGUACGUGGAAUUCUGUAUGUAGGGGUUAAAUCCGUAGAUAUACAGAGGAACACCAAAAGCGAAGGCAGCGUACUGGGUAGCAACUGACACUCAAGAACGAAAGCGUGGGGAGCGAACGGGAUUAGAUACCCUGGUAGUCC
rnacentral:rRNA from 1 species